UACGUAGGGUGCAAGCGUUGUCCGGAAUUAUUGGGCGUAAAGAGCUCGUAGGCGGUCUGUCGCGUCUGGUGUGAAAAUCCAGGGCUUAACCCUGGACCUGCAUCGGGUACGGGCAGACUAGAGUGCGGUAGGGGAGAUCGGAAUUCCUGGUGUAGCGGUGAAAUGCGCAGAUAUCAGGAGGAACACCGAUGGCGAAGGCAGGUCUCUGGGCCAUAACUGACGCUGAGAAGCGAAAGCAUGGGGAGCGAACAGG
rnacentral:rRNA from 1 species